GCGGUGAGCAUGUGGUUUAAUUCGAACGUCAACGACGAAGAACCUUACCUGGGUUUGACAUCCCGAUCGUAUCUUGUGGAAACACGAGAGUCAGUUCGGCUGGAUCGGAGACAGGUGCUGCAUGGCUGUCGUCAGCUCGUGUCGUGAGAUGUUGAGUUAAGUCCCGCAACGAGCGCAACCCUUGUCCUUAGUUGCCAUCAUUCAGUUGGGCACUCUAAAGAGACUGCCGGUGUUAAACCGGAGGAAGGUGGGGAUGACGUCAAGUCCUCAUGGCCCUUAUGUCCAGGGCUACACACGUGCUACAAUGGCCGGUACAAAGGGCAGCAAAGCCGCGAGGUGGAGCCAAUCCCAUAAAGCCGGUCUCAGUUCGGAUUGGAGUCUGCAACUCGACUCCAUGAAGUUGGAAUCGCUAGUAAUCGCGGAUCAGCACGCCCGCGGUCCGAAUACGUUCCCGGGCCUU
rnacentral:rRNA from 1 species